rnacentral:rRNA from 1 species
GAGUUUGAUCUUGGCUCAGAACGAACGCUGGCGGCAGGCUUAACACAUGCAAGUCGAACGCGUGUAGCAAUACACGAGUGGCGCACGGGUGAGUAACGCGUGGAUAUCUGCCUUUUGGUUCGGAAUAACCCCGGGAAACUGGGGCUAAUACCGGAUGGUUCCUUCGGGAUAAAGAUUUAUCGCCAAAAGAUGAGUCCGCGUACGAUUAGCUAGUUGGUGAGGUAAUGGCUCACCAAGGCGACGAUCGUUAGCUGGUCUGAGAGGACGAUCAGCCACACUGGGACUGAGACACGGCCCAGACUCCUACGGGAGGCAGCAGUGGGGAAUAUUGGACAAUGGGGGCAACCCUGAUCCAGCCAUGCCGCGUGAGUGAUGAAGGCCUUC